GAUGAACGCUAGCGACAGGCUUAACACAUGCAAGUCGAGGGGCAGCGGGGGAGCAGCAAUGCUCCCGCCGGCGACCGGCGCACGGGUGAGUAACACGUAUGGAACCUGCCCGCAGCAGGGGGAUAAGCGGAAGAAAUUCCGUCUAAUACCGCGUAACACCGCGGAGGGGCAUCCCUUCGCGGUUAAAGAUUCAUCGGCUGCGGAUGGCCAUGCGGCGCAUUAGCUAGGCGGCGGGGUAACGGCCCACCGAGGCGACGAUGCGUAGGGGUUCUGAGAGGAAGGUCCCCCACACUGGUACUGAGACACGGACCAG
rnacentral:rRNA from 1 species